GACGAACGCUGGCGGCGUGCCUAACACAUGCAAGUCGAGCGAAUGAAGUUCCUUCGGGAAUGGAUUUAGCGGCGGACGGGUGAGUAACACGUGGGCAACCUGCCUCAUAGAGGGGAAUAGCCUUCCGAAAGGGAGAUUAAUACCGCAUAAGAUUGUAGUACCGCAUGGUACAGCAAUUAAAGGAGCAAUCCGCUAUGAGAUGGGCCCACGGCGCAUUAGCUAGUUGGUGAGGUAAUGGCUCACCAAGGCGACGAUGCGUAGCCGACCUGAGGGGGUGGACGGGCACAAUGGGGCUGGGACCAGGCCCAGGCUCCUACGGGGGGCAGGAAGUGGGGAUAUUGGAAAAAGGGGGAAACGCUGAUGCAGCAACGCCGCGUGAGUGAUGACGGUCUUCGGAUUGUAAAGCUCUGUCUUUGGGGACGAUAAUGACGGUACCCAAGGAGGAAGCCACGGCUAACUACGUGCCAGCAGCCGCCGUAAGAC
rnacentral:rRNA from 1 species